CCUACGGGUGGCAGCAGUGAGGAAUAUUGGUCAAUGGACGAGAGUCUGAACCAGCCAAGUAGCGUGAAGGAUGACUGCCCUAUGGGUUGUAAACUUCUUUUAUAUGGGAAUAAAAUGUUCCACGUGUGGGAUUUUGUAUGUACCAUAUGCAUAAGGAUCGGCUAACUCCGUGCCAGCAGCCGCGGUAAUACGGAGGAUCCGAGCGUUAUCCGGAUUUAUUGGGUUUAAAGGGAGCGUAGGUGGAUUGUUAAGUCAGUUGUGAAAGUUUGCGGCUCAACCGUAAAAUUGCAGUUGAAACUGGCAGUCUUGAGUACAGUAGAGGUGAGCGGAAUUCGUGGUGUAGCGGUGAAAUGCUUAGAUAGCACGAAGAACUCCGAUUGCGAAGGCAGUUCACUGGACUGCAACUGACACUGAGGCUCGAAAGUGUGGGUAUCAAACAGGAUUAGAUACCCAGGUAGUC
rnacentral:rRNA from 1 species